UAAUGGGUCAGCGACUUAUAUUCUGUAGCAAGGUUAACCGAAUAGGGGAGCCGAAGGGAAACCGAGUCUUAACUGGGCGUUAAGUUGCAGGGUAUAGACCCGAAACCCGGUGAUCUAGCCAUGGGCAGGUUGAAGGUUGGGUAACACUAACUGGAGGACCGAACCGACUAAUGUUGAAAAAUUAGCGGAUGACUUGUGGCUGGGGGUGAAAGGCCAAUCAAACCGGGAGAUAGCUGGUUCUCCCCGAAAGCUAUUUAGGUAGCGCCUCGUGAAUUCAUCUCCGGGGGUAGAGCACUGUUUCGGCAAGGGGGUCAUCCCGACUUACCAACCCGAUGCAAACUGCGAAUACCGGAGAAUGUUAUCACGGGAGACACACGGCGGGUGCUAACGUCCGUCGUGAAGAGGGAAACAACCCAGACCGCCAGCUAAGGUCCCAAAGUCAUGGUUAAGUGGGAAACGAUGUGGGAAGGCCCAGACAGCCAGGAUGUUGGCUUAGAAGCAGCCAUCAUUUAAAGAAAGCGUAAUAGCUCACUGGUCGAGUCGGCCUGCGCGGAAGAUGUAACGGGGCUAAACCAUGCAC
rnacentral:rRNA from 1 species